UCCGAAGCAGCGAAGGAGCCACUUCCAGGCCAGCGGAGCCGCUUGCAGACCGCUCGGGGCACACUGCGGGAGUGGAGGACCUGUGGGACCGUAGCUCCGCCCACUCUGCCCACAGUGGGAGCCAUUUUCGAGGCGGUGGACUUGAGCGAGCCGGGCGCUGUUGAGACCCUCUGCACCGUCAAGCGACUGAGCCUCUGUGAGACAUCUCUCUCUACAAACUUCUACGAUUGCGGCCACCGGGUGCGGAUAUCUGCCUGUGGCGCCGGAGACGCUGCCGCCUGCCAGCCCGAGUGCCCGCGCGUGGGGCUCCUGCCCCUCCCCUCCGCGCCCUGCACCGCGCUCCCAGUGAGUGGAGGGUCUGCGUGGGGGUGACGAUGCUGUUCCCCUUGAUCUCGCACAAGACUUUUUUUAUUUUAUUUUAUUUUAUUGAUUUGACAGGGAGAGAGAGCACAAGCAGGGUGGCUAGCAGGAGAGGGAGAAGCAGGAUCCCGAUAUGGGGUUCGAGACCAGCACCCCCGGAUCAUGACCUGAGUCAAGGCAGGCGCUUAACCUGCUGAGCCACCCAGGCGCCCACGACUUCUUUCUAACAUAUUUUUUUCCUCCUCUGAUUACGCUCUUCCUUUGUUUCUCAUAGACCUGAGCUGAUUCUGGAGUUCGCAGAGUAUUGCCACAGUGGUGUGCUUUUCAGGUUGCUUUUCUUUGGUUGUCGGUGAUGCUGCUGUGAACAUCCGCGUAGACGCUUUGGCGUGGACGUGUUUUCUUCGUUAGGGCACCUGGGCAUGGAAUCACCCCAUCACACGGUGACUCGGUGUUCAGUAUUUUGAGAAGCUGCCCAGCUGUUUUCCAAAGCAGCCCCAGUAUUUUAGUUUGGCUACCAGUAUAGGACGGUUCCCCUUGCUCUCAUUCCUUGCCAAGAUUUUGAUAUUGUCCAUUUCAAAAAAAAAAUUUUUUUUUUAACUUUUUCAGUGUGAUAUUGCCCACCUUUUGGAUUGUGGCCAUCCUAGUGGAAGUGAAGUGGUAUCUGGUUGUUUUGACUUGGCGCUUUCCUAAUGUUUCACUGUGUUGAACAUUGUUCAUGUGCUAAUGGACCCUUUGUGUAUUUUAUACGGAGAGAUGUCUAUUCAAAUCUUGUGGCCAUUUUAAAAUUGGGUU
rnacentral:lncRNA from 1 species